GCGUCGAAGCAUGAUCGCAAGGACAUGUGGAGCGCUUAGAAGUGAGAAUGCCGGUGUGAGUAGCGAAAGACGGGUGAGAAUCCCGUCCACCGAUUGACUAAGGUUUCCAGAGGAAGGCUCGUCCGCUCUGGGUUAGUCGGGUCCUAAGCUGAGGCCGACAGGCGUAGGCGAUGGAUAACAGGUUGAUAUUCCUGUACCACCUAGUAUCGUUUUAAUCGAUGGGGGGACGCAGUAGGAUAGGCGAAGCGUGCUGUUGGAGUGCACGUCCAAGCAGUAAGGCUGAGUGUUAGGCAAAUCCGGCACUCAUAAGGCUGAGCUGUGAUGGGGAGAGGAAAUUGUUUCCUCGAGUCGUUGAUUUCACACUGCCGAGAAAAGCCUCUAGAUAGAUAACAGGUGCCCGUACCGCAAACCGACACAGGUAGUCAAGAUGAGAAUUCUAAGGUGAGCGAGCGAACUCUCGUUAAGGAACUCGGCAAAAUGACCCCGUAACUUCGGGAGAAGGGGUGCUCUUUAGGGUUCACGCCCAGAAGAGCCGCAGUGAAUAGGCCCAAGCGACUGUUUAUCAAAAACACAGGUCUCUGCUAAACCGUAAGGUGAUGUAUAGGGGCUGACGCCUGCCCGGUGCUGGAAGGUUAAGAGGAGUGGUUAGCUUCUGCGAAGCUACGAAUCGAAGCCCCAGUAAACGGCGGCCGUAACUAUAACGGUCCUAAGGUAGCGAAAUUCCUUGUCGGGUAAGUUCCGACCCGCACGAAAGGCGUAACGAUUUGGGCACUGUCUCAACGAGAGACUCGGUGAAAUCAUAGUACCUGUGAAGAUGCAGGUUACCCGCGACAGGACGGAAAGACCCCGUGGAGCUUUACUGUAGCCUGAUAUUGAAAUUCGGCACAGCUUGUACAGGAUAGGUAGGAGCCUUUGAAACGUGAGCGCUAGCUUACGUGGAGGCGUUGGUGGGAUACUACCCUAGCUGUGUUGGCUUUCUAACCCGCACCACUUAUCGUGGUGGGAGACAGUGUCAGGCGGGCAGUUUGACUGGGGCGGUCGCCUCCUAAAAGGUAACGGAGGCGCUCAAAGGUUCCCUCAGAAUGGUUGGAAAUCAUUCAUAGAGUGUAAAGGCAUAAGGGAGCUUGACUGCGAGACCUACAAGUCGAGCAGGGUCGAAAGACGGACUUAGUGAUCCGGUGGUUCCGCAUGGAAGGGCCAUCGCUCAACGGAUAAAAGCUACCCCGGGGAUAACAGGCUUAUCUCCCCCAAGAGUUCACAUCGACGGGGAGGUUUGGCACCUCGAUGUCGGCUCAUCGCAUCCUGGGGCUGUAGUCGGUCCCAAGGGUUGGGCUGUUCGCCCAUUAAAGCGGUACGCGAGCUGGGUUCAGAACGUCGUGAGACAGUUCGGUCCCUAUCCGUCGUGGGCGUAGGAAAUUUGAGAGGAGCUGUCCUUAGUACGAGAGGACCGGGAUGGACAUACCUCUGGUGUACCAGUUGUCGUGCCAACGGCAUAGCUGGGUAGCUAUGUAUGGACGGGAUAAGUGCUGAAAGCAUCUAAGCAUGAAGCCCCCCUCAAGAUGAGAUUUCCCAACUUCGGUUAUAAGAUCCCUCGAAGAUGACGAGGUUAAUAGGUUCGAGGUGGAAGCGUGGUGACACGUGGAGCUGACGAAUACUAAUCGAUCGAAGACUUAAUCAAUUUUUUAAA
rnacentral:rRNA from 1 species